rnacentral:rRNA from 1 species
UACUACCGAAGCUACGGCAUCAGUAAUGAUGGGUAGGGGAGCUUCCCAUACGGGUUGAAGCAUGACCGUAAGGACAUGUGGACAGUAUGGGAGUGAGAAUGUUGGCAUGAGUAGCGAGAUGUGGGUGAGAAUCCCACAGGCCGUAAACGCCAGGUGUCCGGGGGAAGGGUCGGCCGGCCGGGGUUAGUCGGGACCUAAGCUGAGGCCGAAAGGCGUAGGGGAUGGACAACAGGUUGAUAUUCCUGUACUACCGAUAACCGUUUGAGAGAAGGGAUGACACAGUAGGAUAAGCUAAGCACACUGGUGGUUAUGUGUGCCCAAGCAUUGAGGCAGUCAAAGUAGGCAAAUCCGCUUUGAUAAUGCUGGGAUGUGAUGGGGAGCGAAAUUUAGUAGCGAAGUAGCUGAUUUCACACUGUCAAGAAAAGUCUCUAUCGAGGUUAAAGGUACCCGUACCGCAAACCGACACAGGUG